UACGAAGGGGGCUAGCGUUGCUCGGAAUCACUGGGCUUACAGGGUGCGUAGGCGGCUUGUCAAGUAGGGUGUGAAAGCCCCCGGCUCAACCGGGGAAUGGCGCCCUAAACUGGCGAGCUGGAGUGAGAUAGGGGUGUGUGGAACUUCCGGUGGAGCGGUGAAAUGUGUUGAUAUCGGAAGGAACGCCGGUGGCGAAAGCGACACACUGGAUCUUGUCUGACGCUGAGGCACGAAAGCCAGGGGAGCGAACGGG
rnacentral:rRNA from 1 species